AUAGUUACCUGACAGGGGAGAUACCAUGAUCAUGCAGGUGGUUUUCCCAGGGCGAGGCUCAUCCCUUGCACUUGGGAUGUGCUGACUCCUGCAAUUUCCCCAAAUACGGGAAAAUCGACUGCAUAAUUUGUGGUAGUAGGAGACUGUGUUCACGCUCUCCUC
ensembl:snRNA U1 U1 spliceosomal RNA